CCGGCAGUAGCUCAAUUGGCCAGAGCGCCGGACUGUCGCUCCGGAGCGUGCGGGUUCGAGUCCCGUCUGUCGGGCCA
rnacentral:tRNA from 1 species